rnacentral:lncRNA from 1 species
UGGGCUGGUGGAACGACCGCUAUACACAUUGGAGGAAUUCUUCACCAUGACACAAACCUACUAAUUUUGUAAAGCAAGAAGCAUGAAGACAAUUUCUGUAUUUUGAGCUUCUGGCUGGAUUUGAGUUUCAAAUUAUAAUUUACAUGUUUUUAUUGAAAUUUAGUAUACUAUAUUCGAUGAGAUAAGUUUUACAAUAUAUAUAUAUAUAUAUCAUGUUACAUAUAUACAUGUAUCAUGUAUAUAUAUAUAUAUAUAUUAAUCAUACAGUUAUUAAAUUGAUUUUACAUUAAUAUCGAUUUUGUCCAUAUUAGCUUGUUUUAUACCUUAUAAUUUCAAAUGUAAAUAAUUUUGAGUGGAAGUCCGUGUUUUGGUGUGUGUCGAAACAUAUAGAGAACGUCAAAACAUAAACAAAGAAAUUGAAUAAAAGAAAGAAUGUGUAGAAUGAAUUAAAACACUUAAAAGGAUUAGAAAAGUAAAUUAUUGAAUACCCUUAAGACUCAGUGGAACGUAUAAUAAACAGCUUAUUAAUUAAAAUACUUACAGUUCGAGUCCUGGAGGAGCAAAACUGACUUAAUUUAGACUUUCUCUUAAUUUAAUUUCGACCAUAUUCAGAAUUUACAAUGUGAAAAUUCAAAAAUCUAUAAUUCCAAGUUUUGCAGUGCAAAAAGUUAAUAAUUUAUCCAUAUAUUUCAUAUGGGGUAUGUUUGAAACCUUUUUAUUCAUUAAUUUUGUCAUUUAAUGAAUAAGAAUUAAGAAUACUAGAAUGUAUUAUAGUUACGUGAGCUUGGAACAUCAUUAAGGAGUUUUUACAGAGUUUAAUUAACUUAAUACAUUUUUGUACUAAUAACUUUCUUGGUCCAGGUAUUAUUGUUAUGGCCUAGUAAACUUAAAAUAUUAUUACAUGAGCAAAUAAGUAACUAUAGGUUUAUAGACCUUGUUUGAGUUUGGAUCUUGAUCUUGUUAACAUAUAGUUGUAAGUGUAAAUAUUAUUUUACAUAGCAUGAAAUUACUCUGUCACUACAGAUAUAGUAUUGUAAAAUAUGCUGGGGAAUUUAUACCCCACUCCAUUGUAUCGUAAUAACAAUAUUUAAAAAGUACUACAGUAACAGCUGACUGGGUAUAGACUAAUGAUAAGAAUCAACAAAAUUUGAAAAAUUAAAAAAGUAUGGAGCUUAAGGAAUUGUGGCCUGAACUUCAAUUUCAACAUGUGAAGAAAUGAUCCAACUUGGAAGUUAAGUCUUCAAAGAUAAUGUUAAUAAUAACUCUGGUCAGCCAAGAGGAAACUUUCCACAACAGUCGCACAGGCGGUGAUCUCUGUUCAGUGGACUAGUCAGUAUGUGCGUGAUGGGGGUAAGCCAACCACCCGUAGGUAAGAGACGAGAGUUAGUUACUGGUGAGUUGGCACUACUGACUUUAAACAAGAAGUGAACUUUAGCUGUCUCAGUCAGUUUGUAAUGCCCUUUGUUAUUUUCAAUUUUAAUGUAUUAAUGCACUGCGAUUCAUCGUCUAGUAUUUCAGUUUAUCAAUCACUAAUAGCACUCAGCUACUGACCUAAAGCCUCGGUUGAAACGAGGUAACAAACAAUAAUAGUUAAACUGAGGGUGAUCUGACGUUUUGCUCAUUUUGAGAAUAUAAAAUUGCUUGGAUAUCCUAUAUCCUAAUUCCCUCUCUAGCUUAUAUAUUUUUUAAAUACGUACGAAAACAUACAAUGUAUGUAUGUAUGUAAACACUGUCUGGUAUAUAUUUUGUAAAUAAGAGACAAAAGCAUACAGUGUAUGUGUAUAAAAACUUUCACGUCAGACGAGUUUGAGAUUAAAAAACAAUACAUAUUAAACAGUUUUCUAAAAUUUAAUGGAAUUGAUACUCACAAUGAAAUUAUGUUCUGAGAUUGUUUUACUCGUCAGGAUUGUAAUUUUGUAAGGAUAUUGUUAAUGUAUCCUUAAUAAACUGUCAUUUUGAAUUCAUCCAUUACUUGAAAUGAAUUUAAUGAUCACCAUUCAAAGUACUGAAGUAAACCAUAUAUUGUCCAGAUGUUACAAAUAAUUUGAUGAAUCUUUUACUGAAGUGCCAAGCAUUUGAAUUGAGAAAAGUAAAUAAUAGCAUAAAUAGCUAAAGUUUGUUGGUCCACUUUCAAGUAAAAUUCACUAUUUAAUAUCUGUGUGUAAGGCUAACUAUAAUUAAUUAAAUAUUAUAUGUCUAGCUUUAAACUUAUCAUUAAACAGCAAUGUAUAGAUCAACCUCUGUGUAACAACUAAUUUGAUAAAUUAACUCUUAACAGGCUUUAUUUUUAAAAGAAUCAACAUUCCUGGAUAGAAAACACGAUCUAAAAUGUGAACAGAAUUAAAGAUUUUUACUGUUUGUCAUCUGAGAUGAAACAUAUACAUUAGAAUCAGAUUGUUAAAAUAUUAAAAGUAAAUUAUAUUUAGUGAGCAUUGAUUACAAUUUGUUUUUCUGUGUAGGACAAGUUUCAAAAACUACUGAAUCUGAUGCCGGAGAUUCAUUCCUUGGCGAGUAGAGGGGAGGAGUACCUCUAUCACAAGCAUUGUAAUGGCAGUGCGCCCACGCAGACGCUACUCAUGGAAAUGUUACAUGCCAAGCGGAAAUAACCAUCACCUGGAGCAGAGGGGCUCACUGCGUUGAGAGCCCAGCCAACAGCGUCAUGUGCUCCGGAAGAGUGCAAUAACAGUGCUACAGCUACAGUAUUACCAAGAUCUUACGUGUGCGCAUCGUGACAGUGUCCGGUCGCCUGCACCUGCCUAGAGCAAGAUAUGCCUUCAAAAAAGAGUACAAAAGUCAUAAAAAGUAUAAACGAGUACCAGAAGUAACUAAAGGCAUUAUUCACUGUGUAGUAUUGUGUACAGGCUAAGUGUAGAGCCGGGGCUCAGAACCAACUUUCAUACCCACGUUUUCAGUACAUUUCAAAAAUGUGUAAAUUAUAUUUUUUUAAUGUUGUUAUUUAUUUGAUAUGUUGUUUUAUAUGGUGUACAUGGUUGAAGUUUUGUAUAUAGAGAAUAAUGCAAAUGUGGUAAUGUUUUGUUUGCUUUUCAUAAAAGCGCACAAGAUGGAAAAUGUCUACCGAAGUUUGAACUGUGAAUGAUCUUGGUUCUGGGCCUCCGCUGCAGCAAACUGUUGUUGCUCAUUUAAUUUUAAAAUUGUAAAUUAUACUGUAUUACGUUACAUUCCAGUUUGUCGCUCUGGAAGGGAUUGUUUGGGCAUCAGAUCUUUAUCUUCACUUCUUCCCUAAAAAUUGAUCUAAGAACGCUUCUUAACACCUUGCAGUUCUCGCAUUUCAAAAAAAACCUCUUCCACUUUCGAGUAUUUACAUUCCAAACUCCUUCUUUUUCUCCUCUUCCGAUCCCUUUCCUUUCCUAUCUUUACGAAUCAAAUUCGGUUACGGUCGCUCUUUCGGCAUUCACUUUUCUUUCAAUUAAUAUUCCCGACUCAUUAACACUCUGGGAUCUCGGUGUUGGGACAACAAAAGUUUCCUGUAGAUUAUGUUAAUUUAGAACUGCUGCCUCUAGGGCGUAUGUUCAAUGUUCAUUAAGUUUAAUGUAAAGAAUGUUAUUGUACUUGAAUAGGUUUAACGAGUGAAUGAAAAAACUAUUGUAUUUAAAUUUGUAUAAAAUAUUGUUAAUCGCGCAGUAACCUAAAUGUUUUGUCACAGUUACCUUAUUUACCUCGUUGCACACGACUCUCUCUGUGUGCCUUUCCCUCCCUUGUAUUAAUACUCGACCGACAGUUGUGUAUGGUGUGUAUGUGUAUAUAGACGUGUGUGCGUACGAACAACGUGUGUCGUGAGAGCCCAUGUGUGACGAGGACUCCUCCACGUUUUCACUGCCACAAAUCCACGAUCUGGCAACUUAUCCAUUUGUACAUUUGUUUUAUAAAUUUUCAAAUAAAUGUGCUAUUUUGGUAUGUAGAGUAUAUUUUUAUGGUUGAGAACUUUAAAAGAAGCUGGCCGUGAUUUAAAUAUUGUGAUGAAAAGAGAAUUUAUUUUUAAAAGUAUCUACAGUUGACUUGUAAUCCGGUUAUAGAAGUUUAUUGUUGUUAAAAUAAAAAUUUGUAGUUUUAUAGUAUUUUAUUUCUGUAUUUUGUAAAUUUUAACUAGGUGACAUCACAAUUUCCUUUUUUUACAUACUGAACAACUAUUGUUUUUUAUAAAUAUAAAUCACCAAGCAUGUUUAAGAGUUUUGUAUACUUUCAUAUAAAAAGUAUUAUAAAGUCUUUAGAUGAAGGAUAAACCCUAUGAACCAUUGAUAUGAUAAAGUUACUAGUAUUACAGGCUCAGCGUUGUAUGUGUAAUGUCAGUGUCAUCCUCUUAAGUUCCGUAUUGUGGCACUUGUUUUAUUUAUCUGCUACUUCUUAUUGUUUUUAUUUAGACCACUAUAUAAUAUUAAGAAACAAAUUUUGUUACCUCAGUUUGUUGUACUUGUAUUUACCAUUUACAAGUGACCAUUACCAUGUUUUACACUGUAUAUAGUGUGUGUAUCCGUUGUAAGGAUACUCAUUGUUCAUUUUGUUCCUGGAUUCUGGUGGUUCACAACAUCAUUUCUCACACGAUAACAUGUUGUAAAAAAUAGCUUAUAUUUUCUAAAAUAUUUAUUAAUUUUUUAGUCUGAUAUAAAAACCAGGUGAUACUGUCCAGUUCCAGCAGCCAAAUGUAUUUGUGAAUGAAUUGUAGAAAUGAAAUAAAAACCAAAACACAUAUUUUAAUUUGUUGAUAA